UACGUAGGUGGCAAGCGUUGUCCGGAUUUACUGGGCGUAAAGGGCGUGCAGGCGGUCUGUUAAGUUCAGGGUGAAAGCUCCCGGCUCAACUGGGAGGGGUCCUUGGAUACUGGCAGACUUGAGGGAGGUAGAGGAGAGUGGAAUUCCCGGUGUAGUGGUGAUAUGCGUAGAUAUCGGGAGGAACACCAGUGGCGAAGGCGGCUCUCUGGGCCUUUCCUGACGCUGAGACGCGAAAGCGUGGGGAGCGAACCGG
rnacentral:rRNA from 1 species